UCCCUGAUGGUCCAGUGGUCAGGGCUCUGAGCUUCUACUGCUGGGGACCCAGGUUUGAGUCCUGGUUGGGGAA
rnacentral:tRNA from 1 species